rnacentral:lncRNA from 1 species
CGGCCCCAAUUUCUUUCUCUUUGAGUUCUCUCAACCCGCUUUUCACUUUUCAGUCUUCUCAAUUCUCAUGGAAAUUUCUUUAUGCAGUUUCUGUUGCUCCUAAGCUAUAUUAGUUCAACUGUUAUUGUUAUUUGGAUCACAACCAAAAUCAAGAUAGUAUUGAAGUUUUUUUGCACCUUUAUUUGUGGUUCUAAACCGAACCCUCCAUCACCAACAUCAAGCCACUGCCAUCCAAGCCCAGUCAUCAUCUACGAUCCGUUGUUGAUUUGCGAUGACAAUCUCGAUGUUGAUAACCGUCGAUGAUCCCAUUGCUGUUCUAUCUCCAUCUGAUCCAAUUCCUAUCAUCAUCGGCUUUACCUACUAACAAUCCUGAUGCUUAUAAUCGCUAAAGAUCCCGCUGCACAAAUCUUUAUCUCUCGCUGACGACCCUCCUGCAUAAAUCUCCAUCUCCCACUGAUGAUCACGUUCUCAUCAUCAAUUCAUUUUCCUCUUUUUUGAAACUUUUAUGCUUUGUUUCUAUCUAUGAUGGUUUCUCAGUUUGUCUCUAUCUAUAAUGGAUUAUUUACUUAGUUUUUGAAAACAUUUUAAUCUUAGGAUUUGGACUAUUUAUUUAAUUCUUGUAAACGGAUUCAUAUUCAAUUCAAUUCGUUAUGCAU